UACGUAGGCGGUUUAUUAAGUCAGAUGUGAAAGCCCCGGGCUCAACCUGGGAACUGCAUUUGAUACUGGUAAGCUAGAGUAUGGUAGAGGGGGGUAGAAUUCAUAGUGUAGCGGUGAAAUGCGUAGAUAUUAUGAGGAAUACCAGUGGCGAAGGCGGCCCCCUGGACCAAUACUGACGCUGAGGUACGAAAGCGUGGGUAGCGAACAGGAUUAGAUACCCUGGUAGUC
rnacentral:rRNA from 1 species